rnacentral:rRNA from 1 species
GCACCACAAGAGCGUGGAGUAUGUGGCUUAAUUUGACUCAACGCGGAAAAGCUUAUCUGGUCCGGACGCAGUGAGGAUUGACAGACAGUUUCAGGAGUGGUUCUUGGUAAACAAUUGAGAGAGUUGAAGUUCUUUCAUGAUCUUGUGAGAGGUGGUGCAUGGCCGUUCUUAGUUCGUGUAGUGAUAUGUCUGCCUAAUCGCGUCACGAUAACCUAUUGGUCGACAACCCAAUUAUCACAACUGCAGCAUAACUCCCCUUGGGUGGGCGAGGCUCUGUGUAGGAUAGACCUCUGAACAGUACGCACGAACGCGAUCGUAAUCCCUUGUUGAGUGGCCAUCCUGUAAGCUGCUGGAUUAUGAACCCAGUGGUAUUAUCUCACCCACAGAUUUUCUGGUUGUAAUGGGCCAGUUUUG